AUUGAACGCUGGCGGCAGGCUUAACACAUGCAAGUCGAGCGGGGUGAGGUGCUUCGGUACUGAUCCUAGCGGCGGACGGGUGAGUAAUGCUUAGGAAUCUGCCAUUUAGUGGGGGACAACAUUCCGAAAGGGAUGCUAAUACCGCAUACGUCCUACGGGAGAAAGCAGGGGAUCUUCGGACCUUGCGCUAAAUGAUGAGCCUAAGUCGGAUUAGCUAGUUGGUGGGGUAAAGGCCUACCAAGGCGACGAUCUGUAGCGGGUCUGAGAGGAUGAUCCGCCACACUGGGACUGAGACACGGCCCAGACUCCUACGGGAGGCAGCAGUGGGGAAUAUUGGACAAUGGGCGGAAGCCUGAUCCAGCUAUGCCGCGUGUGUGAAGAAGGCCUUUUGGUUGUAAAGCACUUUAAGCGAGGAGGAGGCUACCUGGAUUAAUACUCUGGGAUAGUGGACGUUACUCGCAGAAUAAGCACCGGCUAACUCUGUGCCAGCCGCCGCCGUAACAC
rnacentral:rRNA from 1 species